rnacentral:rRNA from 1 species
CCUACGGGAGGCUGCAGUGGGGAAUAUUGGACAAUGGGGGGAACCCUGAUCCAGCCAUGCCGCGUGUGUGAAGAAGGCCCUCGGGUUGUAAAGCACUUUCAGUGAGGAAGAACGCCUGGUGGUGAAUACCCAUCAGGAAAGACAUCACUCACAGAAGAAGCACCGGCUAACUCCGUGCCAGCAGCCGCGGUAAUACGGAGGGUGCGAGCGUUAAUCGGAAUUACUGGGCGUAAAGCGCGCGUAGGUGGCUUGAUAAGCCGGUUGUGAAAGCCCCGGGCUCAACCUGGGAACGGCAUCCGGAACUGUCAAGCUAGAGUGCAGGAGAGGAAGGUAGAAUUCCCGGUGUAGCGGUGAAAUGCGUAGAGAUCGGGAGGAAUACCAGUGGCGAAGGCGGCCUUCUGGACUGACACUGACACUGAGGUGCGAAAGCGUGGGUAGCAAACAGGAUUAGAUACCCUAGUAGUC